rnacentral:rRNA from 1 species
AUGAACGCUGGCGGCGUGCCUAAUACAUGCCAGUCGAGCGAACAGACGAGGAGCUUGCUCCUCUGACGUUAGCGGCGGACGGGUGAGUAACACGUGGAUAACCUACCUAUAAGACUGGGAUAACUUCGGGAAACCGGAGCUAAUACCGGAUAAUAUAUUGAACCGCAUGGUUCAAUAGUGAAAGACGGUUUUGCUGUCACUUAUAGAUGGAUCCGCGCCGCAUUAGCUAGUUGGUAAGGUAACGGCUUACCAAGGCAACGAUGCGUAGCCGACCUGAGAGGGUGAUCGGCCACACUGGAACUGAGACACGGUCCAGACUCCUACGGGAGGCAGCAGUAGGGAAUCUUCCGCAAUGGGCGAAAGCCUGACGGAGCAACGCCGCGUGAGUGAUGAAGGUCCUCGGAUCGUAAAACUCUGUUAUUAGGGAAGAACAAAUGUGUAAGUAACUAUGCACGUCUUGACGGUACCUAAUCAGAAAGCCACGGCUAACUACGUG